rnacentral:rRNA from 1 species
CAAACUCCGAAUGCCGUCAUCUUAUACUUGGGAGUCAGACGGUGGGUGAUAAGAUUCAUAGUCGAAAGGGCAACAGCCCAGAUCGUCAGCUAAGGUCCCUAAAUGUAAGUUAAGUGGUAAAGGAUGUGGGAUUGCACAGACAACCAGGAGGUUGGCUUAGAAGCAGCCACUCAUUCAAAGAGUGCGUAAUAGCUCACUGGUCGAGUGAUCCUGCGCCGAAGAUUUCCGGGGCUAAAACUUACUACCGAAGCUACGGCAUCAG